ensembl:lncRNA
AAUUCUGCAGGGAUGGAGAGAAGCGAGUCCUCUGUGAUUUCUGCCUGUUUCAUCACGUGUUUAGCGUUCGCAGGCUUGGUGGGAAUGGGGAAGGCCUGGUCGGCGCCAGAAAAGUGUAGGAGACUUCCAUGUGACAAAGUCACUUUUGAUGCCACUGUUUAUGAAUCUUGUGUUGAGCCGUUCACUCAGACCAUGGCAAACACUGACUACAAACUCAGAUGUCCCUGGCCAAGCACUAGAAGAUAUUCAGAAGUGUGCAACGCAUUUUAUGGAGGACUGUUUCCUGGUCCUGGGAGAGAAGACUACAAUGCCGGCUGUUCUGAUUCACAGCCUAGGCUACGUCGACCUGACGCUGUGUCUGGAGGAUCUGGCUAACUCCACAUGCUGUACAGACGCUUCCUACAGACACUGCAUGCUGCUGGACAUCCAUAAGGUUUAUUUCUCCAUGUGCUCAUAUAUGCAGGACCCAGGUAUUCCCAUCCUGCUGCUGCUCAUCAUGCCCUGUGUCAUCAUCCCAUUCAUUAUACCAUUCCUCUGGCAGUACUUCAAACUGCACGAGUACAGACUGCCAAAGAACUAAUGAUUGAACAGUGUGUUGCAUUUCAGAAUGGACAAUGUGCAUGAAUCAAAGUACUCUUUAUUCUUUUUUUUUGAUAGGCCUCACAGUAUAUUUGAAGUGAUUUUAAUUUUUAAAGUAUCCUAAAGACCAUAUUGUUAGAUUACAUUUAUGCAUUUGGGAGACACUUUAUCCCGAGAAACUUAUAUUGCUUUCAAGGUACAACAUUGUGUAAAUGUUUACUUGUAUGUAUGUAUCUUAUUUUGUGUACAUCUUAAUCAUUCUAAUAUUCUGAUUUGGUGCUCAAGAAACAUUUCUUAUGAAUGUUGAAAACUGUUGUGCUGCUUAAUAUUUUUGUGAAAAAACAAAAUUUUAAGUCCCCCCCAAGAUUAUUUGAUGAAUAGAAAGUCCAAAUUAAUAUAUUAUUUCAUUUAUUAUACCGUACACUGUCCUUAGUGUAACUUUUGAUCAAUUUACUGUGUCCUUGCUGAAAAAAAAAGUAAAACUUAAUAUUUAAAUUAAAUAUCAAAACAACUUACUGAACCCAAACGUUUAAGCAACAGUGUAUAUGACCUGGAUGGUAGCCAAAAAAAGUAAUAAAAUAAAGUAACAAAUAAAAAUAAAUAUUUAU